GAUGAACGCUGGCGAGAUGCUUUACACAUGCAAGUCGUACGAGAGUUUUAACUCAAGUGGCGGACGGGUGAGUAACACGUAAGAAUUUGCCUUUAGGAGGGGGACAACAAUUGGAAACGAUUGCUAAUACCCACUAUGCUUUGAGUGAAAUGGAUUUUUCCGUCCUAAAGAGAAGCUUGCGGCUGAUUAGCUUGUUGGUAAGGUAAUGGCUUACCAAGGCGACGAUCAGUAUCNGGUUUGAGAGGACGAUCAGACACACUGGAACUGAGACACGGUCCAGACUCCUACGGGAGGCAGCAGUGGGGGAAUUUUCCGCAAUGGGCGAAAGCCUGACCCAGCGACGCCGCGUGAAGGAUGAAGUAUUUUCGGUAUGUAAACUUCGAAAGAAUGGGAAGAAUCAAUGACGGUACCA
rnacentral:rRNA from 1 species